GAUGAACGCUGGCGGCGUGCCUAAUACAUGCAAGUCGAGCGAACAGAUAAGGAGCUUGCUCCUUCGACGUUAGCGGCGGACGGGUGAGUAACACGUGGGUAACCUACCUAUAAGACUGGGAUAACUUCGGGAAACCGGAGCUAAUACCGGAUAACAUUUGGAACCGCAUGGUUCUAAAGUGAAAGAUGGUUUUGCUAUCACUUAUAGAUGGACCCGCGCCGUAUUAGCUAGUUGGUAAGGUAACGGCUUACCAAGGCAACGAUACGUAGCCGACCUGAGAGGGUGAUCGGCCACACUGGAACUGAGACACGGUCCAGACUCCUACGGGAGGCAGCAGUAGGGAAUCUUCCGCAAUGGGCGAAAGCCUGACGGAGCAACGCCGCGUGAGUGAUGAAGGGUUUCGGCUCGUAAAACUCUGUUAUUAGGGAAGAACAAAUGUGUAAGUAACUGUGCACGUCUUGACGGUACCUAAUCAGAAAGCCACGGCUAACUACGUG
rnacentral:rRNA from 1 species